rnacentral:misc_RNA from 1 species
GAUGAAGAACGCAGCGAAAUGCGAUAAGUAAUGCGAAUUGCAGAAUUUCCGUGAGUCAUCGAAUCUUUGAACGCACAUUGCGCCCCCUGGUAUUCCGGGGGGCAUGCCUGUUCGAGCGUCAUUUCACCACUCAAGCCUCGCUUGGUAUUGGGCAUCGCGGUCCGCCGCGUGCCUCAAAUCGACCGGCUGGGUCUUCUGUCCCCUAAGCGUUGUGGAAACUAUUCGCUAAAGGGUGUUCGGGAGGCUACGCCGUAAAACAACCCCAUUUCUAAGGUUGACCUCGGAUCAGGUAGGGAUACCCGCUGAACUUAAGCAUAUCAAUAAGCGGAGGA